AUAUGGUGGAGCGUCCAGUCGCAUAGAAGGGAUGUUCUGGGCCACAUGUGCGCUACACUGAUGUAUUCAACGAGUCUAUAGCCUUGGCCGACAGGCUUGGGUAAUCUUUGAAAUUUCAUCGUGAUGGGGAUAGAUCAUUGCAAUUGUUGGUCUUCAAUGAGGAAUUCCUAGUAAGCGCGAGUCAUCAACUCGCGUUGACUAU
rnacentral:ncRNA from 1 species